CAGAUCAGGGCUCCAUUUAGCAUGAAAAGAGGGUCUUCCACUGUUGCUCAUGUGAACGCUGCCAACAGCUUAAAAGAUUUUGCUCUGGUGGGAAGAACAUGGGCCAUGAUUGAAGGACUAUGAUUGCAGCACUGCUGUCAUCUACUUAGCUGAAGCAGCAGUAAUCACACACACGACAUGUAACAGGCAGAGUGCUGCUCUCCCAGCUCCCAGUUAGCAGUAGAAUGAGUGGGCUGACUGGAGGAGUCAGCAUGUGGACCCAUCUGCUUUGAUCAUGACACACUCCUGGAAAGCACUGAAAGUGAAGAGCAUCUACUUCCCUGCAGAUGAAGGAGCUAAGAGCCAAGUUUCAGCCUCAUUUCACUGAGGCUUUCAUUGUUAAGACGGCAUUUUCAGCAGGAGAAUAAUAAUUUUGUUGAAAAAUGUUCUGUUGGGAAAACCAAUAUGAAAAAUCCAAGUCUAUCCACCCAGAAGACAAUUGUUAUUACUGCUUCAGUGAUGCAGGGAUUUCCAGGCUGACCAUCAGAAAAAUAGUUCUGAGUUUGAUUCUCUCCUAUGGAUUAAUGUCCAAGACAACC